UACGUAGGGUGCAAGCGUUAAUCGGAAUUACUGGGCGUAAAGCGUGCGCAGGCGGUUAUGUAGGACAGAUGUGAAAUGCCCGGGCUUAACCUGGGAACUGCAUUUGUGACUGCAUGGCUAGAGUUUGGCAGAGGGGGGUAGAAUUCCACGUGUAGCAGUGAAAUGCGUAGAUAUGUGGAGGAACGCCGAUGGCGAAGGCAGCCCCCUGGGUCAAGACUGACGCUCAUGCACGAAAGCGUGGGGAGCAAACAGG
rnacentral:rRNA from 1 species